UACUGAACAGUCAUGUCCCACCUACAGAGAGAGAGUCAAUCACACAGUCAGGCAGGGAAGUGAAACUCAUAAUAGAAACACGUCGAUACACAACUUCAUUUCCAUAAGUUUUUCCAGCUGUGACCGUUUCUCUGCAGAUUUUGUGCUUGUGUUGCCGUUCAGAAUGAUUUCAGUCGGAUUUAAAGAGACACACGCAGCAGCUCAACCAGAAACACAAAGAGUGACUCCGAUUCAACCGACAUGGAGUGAAGGAAAAGUUGGGCUCUACUUUGGGCUGAUCUUAUCAGCAGUAGCUCUGCUAGCUGUGUUUGUUCAUCGCUGCAUUGAUAAGAAUAAGAAGACCACACCUGUUAAAGUGUCUGAGAAACAAACUUCCUUAGAUGGAACUGACACAUAAUAAAUGUGUAGAAUAUAGUUUCGGUUUGCAUUUUUACAUUUGUCAGUAGAUAACUGUCGCCUCACAGUGCACACUGCACUUUCUGAGUGGAGUUAGCAUGUUCUCCCUGUGCCUGCAUGUGUUUUCUCUGUGUACUGUAGCUUCCUCCCACACUCUAAACUGGUUGUGAAUGGUUGCAUGUCUAUCCCUUCAAUGUCAACCAGCUCCGCAAUGGACUGCCAAUGUGCCCUGGGUGCCUCUCUCCUGUUGAUAGCUGGGAUAGGCUCCAGUAUGAGCGGGUUCAGAAAAUGGAUGGAUAGACAUUGUUACAGUCCCUGCUGUCACCAAAGUUACCGUUUAUAAUGUGUAUUUAAUGUAAAUAGAAAGAAAUAAGUUGUAAUUAUUUUUUUUCCGAAAACAGCAAUUGAACAAAAACUAAUCAAUGUUUACACAGAAAUAAACUGCUGGCUUCAAGGACA
rnacentral:lncRNA from 1 species